UACGUAGGGGGCAAGCGUUGUUCGGAAUUACUGGGCGUAAAGGGCGCGUAGGCGGCGGCGUAAGUCGGGAGUGAAAGCCCGGGGCUCAACCCCGGAAUGUCUCUCGAAACUGCGCGGCUCGAGUGCGGAAGAGGCAACUGGAAUUCCCAGUGUAGCGGUGAAAUGCGUAGAUAUUGGGAAGAACACCUGAGGCGAAGGCGGGUUGCUGGGCCGACACUGACGCUGAGGCGCGAAAGCCAGGGGAGCAAACGGG
rnacentral:rRNA from 1 species